rnacentral:rRNA from 1 species
UACGGAGGAGGCAAGCGUUAUCCGGAAUUAUUGGGCGUAAAGCGUCCGUAGGUGGCUAGUCAAGUCUGCGGUCAAAGACUGGGGCUUAACCCUGGAAAGGCCGUGGAAACUGACGAGCUAGAGUGCAGUAGGGGUAGAGGGAAUUCCCGGUGUAGCGGUGAAAUGCGUAGAGCUCGGGAAGAACAUCGGUGGCGAAAGCGCUCUACUGGACUGCAACUGACACUCAGGGACGAAGGCUAGGGGAGCGAAUGGG